UCGAGGAUCUUCGGCAAUGGGCGCAAGCCUGACCGAGCGACGCCGCGUGCGGGAUGAAGGCCUUCGGGUUGUAAACCGCUGUCGUAGAGGAGGAAAUGCAGGGGGGUUCUCCCUUCUGUUUGACCUAUUCUAGGAGGAAGUACGGGCUAAGUUCGUGCCAGCAGCCGCGGUAAGACGAACCGUACAAACGUUACUCGGAAUUACUGGGCUUAAAGGGUGCGUAGGCUGCGCGGAAAGUUGGGUGUGAAAGCCCUCAGCUCAACUGGGGAAUUGCAUUCAAAACUACCGUGCUCGAGGGAGACAGAGGUAAGCGGAACUCAAGGUGGAGCGGUGAAAUGCGUUGAUAUCUUGAGGAACACCGGUGGCGAAGGCGGCUUACUGGGUCUCUUCUGACGCUGAG
rnacentral:rRNA from 1 species